rnacentral:rRNA from 1 species
UACGUAGGGUGCGAGCGUUGCCCGGAUUUAUUGGGCGUAAAGAGCGUGUAGGCGGCUAUUUAAGUCCUGCGUGAAAUCCUGCGGCUCAACCGCAGACGGUCGUGGGAAACUGGAUGGCUAGAGUGCGGGAGAGGAGAGUGGAAUUCCCGGUGUAGCGGUGAAAUGCGCAGAUAUCGGGAAGAACACCCGUGGCGAAGGCGGCUCUCUGGAACGCAACUGACGCUGAGACGCGAAAGCGUGGGGAGCAAACAGG